rnacentral:lncRNA from 1 species
GGGCAGGAAAGACCAGACAGAGCUGCAUCUCCCAUGAAAACAACUGUGUACAUAUGAUAGAGUGAGUACAUGGAGUACAUAGAAGAGUGAGCUCUGAAAGAACUCUCACAUGGACCCCCAGAAAGAGGAGUACUCAACGCCUGCUGCACAGAAGGCAUCAGCAGUUAAGUACUGGCUAGAAAAGCAGAGUCCAUCAAAGGAGAGGACCACAGUGGUAGCUGCCUGAGAGCUGUCCCUGCAAGCUGAACUAUCAGAAGAUGAAGAAUGAGGUCUCCCUGAAAUGCCCACCAUAAGACUGCCAGAUAUGGGACUGCUGGAUGACACUCUGGCUACCCCACUGAGUUUUAUGAAAACAUAACAGAAUAAAGACACUUACUUGUCAACUCAGGUAAAGAAUACACACAGAAGGUGUCUUAGUCCGUUCUGGGUGCUAUAACAAAAUAACAGACUGGGCAAUUUAUAAGUAACAGAAACUUAUUUUUUACAGUUUGAAGGCUGGGAUGAUCAACGUGCCAGAAAAUUGAGAAUCUAGUGAGGGCUUGCUCUCUGCUUCAAAGAUGACACCUUCUGGCUGUAUCCUGUGGCAGAAGGGGACAAAGAAGCUCCCUCGGGCCACUUCCGUAAGGGCACUGAUCCCAUUCACAAGGGCAGAGCCCUCAUGACCUAAUCACCUCCCAGAUGCCCCACUUCUGAAUGCCAUCAGAGAUGAGGUUUCAACGUAAGAAUUUUGGGAGGACACAUUCAGACCAUAGCAGGAGCAAUGGGCUGAUCCUGAUCCCACUUAAAUAGCUCAUAACUUCUGUAGAUAGCUCAGAUUCCUCAGGACUGGAGGAAACAGUUCCCAACCUAAAUAAGGGCUCCUGGAAAUAUGUGUUAAUUAAUGAAAUACAUACCAACAACUGUGAAGAGAUGUUGGUGUGAUCUGUUGACUCAUCUGAAAUGGUUUAAAGAUUUCUUCCCAAUAGGAUGUGAAGAGCCAUCUGUUCCUGGGGAUUACGUUCUGGUUGAUGUAGGGAUUAGGUCUCCACUUGAGGACAAAGUGGGGAAGGGCACACUUAAGCGAACAGCUCUCUUGGUCGGCCUAUAUUGACUGGGCAGAUUUUAUAUCAGAAUUCCAAAUCUCCGCCUAGUGUGGUUAUAGUUGAGAGAGCACAGAUUAGAAGGCGUCAACUACAGGCUCAAGUUUCAUCACCCAUUCAAUGAAUCAUUGAAGGGAGCCAAUGAUUUUGUUUGAAUUCCAGUCUCUCUAGAUACAAAAUGGAGUCAAUUCUUUCUGUACCCACCGUAUUAGUCGCUAGACAAAACUUUGGCAAUCAUUUGCUCUAAUUCCCUUAUCUCCCCCACAAAGAAACUCAUCAGUUAAAGCCUUGUUCUUACCUUUCUUGGUCACAGAACCCUCUGAGGAUUUGUUGAAAGCUAUGGAUCCUUCUCCACAGAAACAUGCAUUUGUGUGUGUGUUUACAAGCUACUGAGGCACUCCAGAGUGAUGGCAUGUGAUCCCCCUGACACAAGAAACAGGCCCAGAUAACACACCGUUCAGACCGACAGCAGUUCUGGUUAUGCUGCAGUACAUCAGAAGAGUGCUCUUAUCCAUCCACAGUUCUUAUCACAGUUACUUAUGCAUAUAUUCAUUUUUUAUAUAAAAGAAUCUUGAAUUGGUCACUUAAAUAUUGAAUCUCAAUAAUAAAAAAUACUAAAAGUAUAGCUAAAUGUGUUAUUUUAUUUUGCAUUUGUCCUACACUCUUCCCCUCACUUUUUUAGGACAUGUAAUCAAGACAUUUGGCAGGUUGUUCAAUACCAGAAUGACAGAGCACCAUCAACCAUGCUCAGACCGUACUAACCCCUUGACAAUUAUCACAGUCUUUCUUGGAUGGGGACUACAGAGUCCUGGAGGACCAAUGACAUAUUUUGGGGGGUAUGAUAAUUCUCUACAAUAACUUUUAAAUUUUGUAUUUUCACUGCGAUAAACUAAAACAUAACCAAUAUUAGUAAUAGUCUGCAUGGUCUGAUGACCACUUUAUAGCCAAUGACAUUUUGACUUAUGAUCACAAUCUAAUUAAUGCCAAGAAGUACAACUUUAAUUGUCUCAAGAAUGGACAAAACACUGAAGUAUAUGUGAUAUGAGAAUGAUGCUUCUCUAAGAGAUAAAGACUGAUUUACAUUAUGCAAAAAAGAAGAGAUAGGCCGGACACAGCGGCUCACGCCUGUAAUCCCAGCACUUUGGGAGACCGAGGCAGGCAGCUCACCUGAGGUUGGGAGUUCAAGACCAGGCUGACUAACAUAGAGAAACCCCAUAUCUACUAAAAAUACAAAAUUAGCCGGGCAUGGUGGCACAUGCCUGCAAUCCCAGCUACUUGGGAAACUGAGGCAGGAGACUUGCUUGAAUCCAGGAGGCAGAGGUUAUGGUGAACUGAG